rnacentral:rRNA from 1 species
UAGGGAAUAUUGCACAAUGGAGGAAACUCUGAUGCAGCGACGCCGCGUGAGUGAUGAAGGCCUUCGGGUCGUAAAGCUCUGUCGCAGGGGAAUAACACAAUGAAGGUACCCUGUAAGAAAGGAUCGGCUAACUUCGUGCCAGCAGCCGCGGUAAGACGAGGGAUCCUAGCGUUGUUCGGAAUCAUUGGGCGUAAAGCGGAUGUAGGUGGCUAUGUAAGUCAGAUGUGAAAGCCUGGGGCUCAACCCCAGAAGUGCAUUUGAUACUGCGUAGCUUGAGUGUCGGAGAGGUUACUAGAAUUGUUGGUGUAGUGGUGAAAUACGUAGAUAUCAACAGGAAUACCGGAGGCGAAGGCGGGUAACUGGCCGAACACUGACACUGAGAUCCGAAAGCGUGGGGAUC